rnacentral:tRNA from 1 species
GCCGAUGUGGCUCAGUGGUUGAGUAUCGGCCCAUGAAUCAGGAGGUCAGGGUUCAAUUCCCUGUCAGGGCA